CCUCCACUAUUCAACGAUCCAAUUAUUCACUGUUUCUUCUUACAACUGUUCACUUGUGAAAUGUGAUCCUAAAUCCUCGUAUUGUAUAUCUGCAUCACUUGAAGGUUCAAACUGCGGACAUACAUCUCCCCCACCCUUCACACUUCUAAGCGUUGGCCAGGUCGUCACCUUUUGGGAAGGGGAGAUUGUUGACACCAAGAAUUAUACUUUCUUCACUGAGAAGUGGGAAGCAACACACGAUGGUGAUAUAAGGCACUGGACCAAAUUUCCUUCUUUUUCUGCUCUUUUGGUAAGCUGAGGAGUCUUAAUGUCGUCUUUCAUAUAUGAAGUUCUGUUGUCUCCUAGCUAAUUCCACAUUUUACGGAGCCAAGUGGAAGUUGAUGGUGGCAAAUCAUUAGAUCUCAGCAACUAUCCAUACAUAUUCAUGAGACGGAAGAAGCAAUACUUCGUGAAUGUUGGCACAGACUCCGGUUUGACUAUAGCUGGCUUUUACUAUGUGUGUUUCUCAUGCAGUGAUGGCUCUAUCAACGGCUUCUAUUAUGAUCCUAAUAGCAGAAGGCUUUCUGCUCAAGUUCUGCAGCUAUUCAAUCCUUGGUCCAAGCUGCUCAAGAUGUCGAACCUAGGCCAAGCUGCAUCUACAUGGAUCCAGAGUGUUAUUGAUCCAGGUGGAGUCCUAGUUCCACUAGGAAAACUAUUAUGCAGUUUCUGUGUGGAUGUUGUGCAGUUGGUUUUAAUUUUUCUUGUAUAUGUGUUAUAUCUUAUAUGUGUUGAUCUUGGUUAUUGAUGUAUGUUGUUGUUGCAUCAUGUGGUUUAACAUUAUCUUUAGUAUGUUUAGCAUUUAAU